GGAGCUUGCUCCUUUGACGUUAGCGGCGGACGGGUGAGUAACACGUGGGUAACCUACCUAUAAGACUGGGAUAACUUCGGGAAACCGGAGCUAAUACCGGAUAAUAUUUCGAACCGCAUGGUUCGAUAGUGAAAGAUGGUUUUGCUAUCACUUAUAGAUGGACCCGCGCCGUAUUAGCUAGUUGGUAAGGUAACGGCUUACCAAGGCGACGAUACGUAGCCGACCUGAGAGGGUGAUCGGCCACACUGGAACUGAGACACGGUCCAGACUCCUACGGGAGGCAGCAGUAGGGAAUCUUCCGCAAUGGGCGAAAGCCUGACGGAGCAACGCCGCGUGAGUGAUGAAGGUCUUCGGAUCGUAAAACUCUGUUAUUAGGGAAGAACAUACGUGUAAGUAACUAUGCACGUCUUGACGGUACCUAAUCAGAAAGCCACGGCUAACUACGUGCCAGCAGCCGCGGUAAUACGUAGGUGGCAAGCGUUAUCCGGAAUUAUUGGGCGUAAAGCGCGCGUAGGCGGUUUUUUAAGUCUGAUGUGAAAGCCCACGGCUCAACCGUGGAGGGUCAUUGGAAACUGGAAAACUUGAGUGCAGAAGAGGAAAGUGGAAUUCCAUGUGUAGCGGUGAAAUGCGCAGAGAUAUGGAGGAACACCAGUGGCGAAGGCGACUUUCUGGUCUGUAACUGACGCUGAUGUGCGAAAGCGUGGGGAUCAAACAGGAUUAGAUACCCUGGUAGUCCACGCCGUAAACGAUGAGUGCUAAGUGUUAGGGGGUUUCCGCCCCUUAGUGCUGCAGCUAACGCAUUAAGCACUCCGCCUGGGGAGUACGACCGCAAGGUUGAAACUCAAAGGAAUUGACGGGGACCCGCACAAGCGGUGGAGCAUGUGGAUUUAAUUCGAAGCAUCGCGAAGAACCCUUACCAAAUCUUGACAUCCUUUGACACUCUAGAGAUAGAGCCUUCCCCUUCGGGCGACAAAGUGACAGUGGUGCAUGGUUGUCGUCAGCUCGUGUCGUGAGAUGUC
rnacentral:rRNA from 1 species